rfam:Schistosoma curassoni strain Dakar, Senegal genome assembly, scaffold: SCTD_contig0004724
UCAAUAACUCCGCCUGUAGCUCUUCUAGAGUUACUGCAGGUCCCAAGCCCAGGUAAAGGAGGAGGGUUGA